UGGGGAAUAUUGGACAAUGGGCGCAAGCCUGAUCCAGCAAUGCCGCGUGUGUGAAGAAGGCCUUCGGGUUGUAAAGCACUUUUAUCAGGAGCGAAACGCUGUCGGCUAAUACCCGGCGGAACUGACGGUACCUGAGGAAUAAGCACCGGCUAACUUCGUGCCAGCAGCCGCGGUAAUACGAAGGGUGCAAGCGUUAAUCGGAAUUACUGGGCGUAAAGCGUGCGUAGGCGGUUUCUUAAGUCUGCUGUGAAAUCCCCGGGCCCAACCUGGGAAUGGCAGUGGAUACUGGGAGGCUAGAGUGUGUCAGAGGGUGGUGGAAUUCCCGGUGUAGCGGUGAGAUGCGUAGAGAUCGGGAGGAACAUCAGUGGCGAAGGCGGCCACCUGGGACAACACUGACGCUGAGGCACGAAAAGCGUGGGGAGCAAAACAGGAUUAGAUACCCUGGUAGUCCACGCCCUAAAACGAUGCGAACUGGAUGUUGGUCUCAACUCGGAGAUCAGUGUCGAAGCUAACGCGUUAAGUUCGCCGCCUGGGGAGUACGGUCGCAAGACUGAAACUCAAAGGAAUUGACGGGGUCAUAGCUGUUUCCUG
rnacentral:rRNA from 1 species